GCUGGGCAUGGUGGUUUAUGCCUGUAAUCCCAGUGGCUCAGGAGGCUAAGGCAAGAGGAUCACAAGUUCAAAGCCAGCCUCAGCAACUUAGCAAGACCCUGUCUUAA
rnacentral:sRNA from 1 species